rnacentral:rRNA from 1 species
GAUGAACGCUAGCUACAGGCUUAACACAUGCAAGUCGAGGGGAAACGACAUCGAAAGCUUGCUUUUGAUGGGCGUCGACCGGCGCACGGGUGAGUAACGCGUAUCCAACCUGCCCACCACUUGGGGAUAACCUUGCGAAGUAAGACUAAUACCCAAUGAUAUCUCUAGAAGACAUCUGAAAGAGAUUAAAGAUUUAUCGGUGAUGGAUGGGGAUGCGUCUGAUUAGGUUGUUGGCGGGGUAACGGCUCACCAAGGCGACGAUCAGUAGGGGUUUUGAGAGGAAGGUCCCCCACAUUGGAACUGAGACACGGUCCAAACUCCUACGGGAGGCAGCAGUGAGGAAUAUUGGUCAAUGGGCGAGAGCCUGAACCAGCCAAGUAGCGUGCAGGAUGACGGCCCUAUGGGUUGUAAACUGCUUUUAUAAGGGAAUAAAGUGAGUCUCGUGAGACUUUUUGCAUGUACCUUAUGAAUAAGGACCGGCUAAUUCCGUGCCAGCCGCCGCAGUAA